GGGAGCGACGGCUGAGGAAAGAGCUCUGACAAGGCCAGACGAGCCAAUGCCACCUCUGCGCUGGGUGUGGAGCACCUCAGGGGCAGCACUAAGGCCUUCUAUAGAGGGAGUCAUCGAUCAUGUCAGCGUGUUCAGGAUGCUUACACCCUGCGCUGUAUCCCACAGGAGGAAACUGAUGCAGACACGGGGAGAACAUGCAAACUCCACACAGAGGACGACCCCCAAGGUUGGACUACCCUGGGGCUCGAACCCAG